GAUGAACGCUGGCGGCGUGCCUAAUACAUGCAAGUCGAGCGAACAGACGAGGAGCUUGCUCCUCUGACGUUAGCGGCGGACGGGUGAGUAACACGUGGAUAACCUACCUAUAAGACUGGGAUAACUUCGGGAAACCGGAGCUAAUACCGGAUAAUAUAUUGAACCGCAUGGUUCAAUAGUGAAAGACGGUUUUGCUGUCACUUAUAGAUGGACCCGCGCCGCAUUAGCUAGUUGGUAUGGUAACGGCUUACCAAGGCAACGAUGCGUAGCCGACCUGAGAGGGUGAUCGGCCACACUGGAACUGAGACACGGUCCAGACUCCUACGGGAGGCAGCAGUAGGGAAUCUUCCGCAAUGGGCGAAAGCCUGACGGAGCAACGCCGCGUGAGUGAUGAAGGUCUUCGGAUCGUAAAACUCUGUUAUUAGGGAAGAACAAAUGUGUAAGUAACUAUGCACGUCUUGACGGUACCUAAUCAGAAAGCCACGGCUAACUACGUG
rnacentral:rRNA from 1 species